ensembl:processed_transcript
AGCGCCGCCCGGCCCCAGUUUAGCAUCGAUGAUGCCUUCGAGCUGACCCUGGAGGACGCGGGGCCUGGGCCCGAGUCCAGCGGGGUCGCCCGCUUCGGGCCGCUGCACUUCGAGCGCCGGGCUCGGUUCGAGGUGGCUGAUGAAGACAAGCAGUCCCGGCUACGCUACCAGAACCUGGAAAAUGAUGAGGACGGAACCCAGGCCUCUCCGGAGCCAGAUGGGGGAGUCAGCACCAGGUCAGGGCCAGGUGUCUCCAGUGCCAUCUUCUUUGUGCCGGGCAUCCUGCUGUUAGUCCCAGGAGUCUACCAUGUGAUCUUCAUCUACUGUGCUGUCAAGGGCCGCCGGGGCUUCCAAUUCUUCUACCUGCCCUAUUUUGAGAAGUGAGCUACAACUGGCCAGUGGCUCACCAGUGAUCCAAGGCCUCAGGUCACCUCCACGCGUCCACAGGGUAUUCCUCCAACCUACACCUGGUUCUGUUCCUUUCACCUGAGGCCCUCUGGGACCCUCACAACCACCAGGCCCCUUUGAAUUUGCUCAGGAAGUUUGGAGCAUGCCAGCCUGGGGAUAUUGCCUCUUACCUGAUGUGUGCCUUAACUUAUUUCUGGGUUCUGGACUCCUGGGUUGGUGUAAUUUUGUGCUAAUAAAAGGGUAAUUACUUCCAACAA